UACGUAGGGCGCGAGCGUUGUCCGGAAUUAUUGGGCGUAAAGAGCUCGUAGGCGGCCGGUUGCGUCUGCUGUGAAAUCCCGGGGCUUAACCCCGGGCGUGCAGUGGAUACGGGCCGGCUGGAGGCAGGCAGGGGAGAAUGGAAUUCCCGGUGUAGCGGUGAAAUGCGCAGAUAUCGGGAGGAACACCUAUUGCGAAGGCAGCUCGCUGGGACGUAACUGACGCUGAGACGCGAAAGCGUGGGGAGCAAACAGG
rnacentral:rRNA from 1 species